GACCUCAAAUCGGGUGGGACUACCCGCUGAACUUAAGCAUAUCAAUAAGCGGAGGAAAAGAAACUAACAAGGAUUCCCCUAGUAACGGCGAGUGAAGAGGGAAAAGCUCAAAUUUUGAAUCUGGUGCCUUUGGUGCCCGAGUUGUAAUCUAGAGAAGUGUUUUCUGCCUUGGACCACACAUAAAUUCCCUGGAAUGGGGUGUCAUAGAGGGUGAGAAUCCCGUUUGUGGUGUGGACUACCUUGGCUCUGUGAUACACUCUCAACGAGUCGAGUUGUUUGGGAAUGCAGCUCAAAAUGGGUGGUAAAUUCCAUCUAAAGCUAAAUACUGGCGAGAGACCGAUAGCGAACAAGUACCNGUGAGGGNAAAGAUGAAAAAGCANUUUGGNAAAGAGAGUGAAACAAGUACGUUGAAAUUGUUGAAAGGGAAANGUUUUGAANNUCAGUUCACAAUUGGGUCGGGAAUUCCAGC
rnacentral:rRNA from 1 species